UGGGGAAUUUUUCGCAAUGGGCGCAAGCCUGACGAAGCAACGCCGCGUGGAGGAUGAAGGUCUUCGGAUUGUAAACUCCUGUCGACCGGGACGAAUGCACUCGACCUAAUACGUCGGAAUGUUGACGGUACCGGUGGAGGAAGCCACGGCUAACUCUGUGCCAGCAGCCGCGGUAAUACAGAGGUGGCAAGCGUUGUUCGGAAUUACUGGGCGUAAAGGGCGCGUAGGCGGCCUUAUAAGUCUCGUGUGAAAGCCCUCGGCUUAACUGAGGAUCUGCACGGGAUACUGUAAGGCUUGAGUUCGGGAGAGGAAAGCGGAAUUCCGGGUGUAGCGGUGAAAUGCGUAGAUAUCCGGAGGAACACCAGUGGCGAAGGCGGCUUUCUGGACCGACACUGACGCUGAGGCGCGAAAGCUAGGGGAGCAAACG
rnacentral:rRNA from 1 species